UACGUAGGGGGCAAGCGUUGUCCGGAUUUACUGGGCGUAAAGCGCCUGUAGGCGGCCUGUCAAGUCCGGCCUGAAAGCCCCCCGCUCAACGGGGGAGGGUGGCUGGAAACUGGCAGGCUUGAGGGCGAGAGAGGAGGGUGGAAUUCCAGGUGUAGCGGUGAAAUGCGUAGAUAUCAGGAGGAACACCUGCGGUGUAGACGGCUUACUGGACCAUCACUGACGCUGAGGCACGAAAGCGUGGGUAGCAAACAGG
rnacentral:rRNA from 1 species